CGCGUGUUCGUCUCUCUGCGCGUCUGUCUAAAGUGUAAGAUUCACACGUAUUUUAUUCACGCGCACAUCCCGCGUCUAUGUAUGCAUGUAUAUCGCGCAACGUUCGGAUUUUAUCAUUGUUCAUUUCCGCUCCGAUGGAAAAUCCCUAAAUUUUCCCUCCUCUCGGGCUUUCCCAGCCGAUCACCGGCAUAAUUUAAUGCACAGAUUGUUCGUGAUUUAGACUUCUGGAAAUCUCUUUAUAAGUUUUAAUGAUGCAAAAUUGCAUCGUAGAAGAGAAAUCGUUUCGAAGAGACAAAUGUAAUCGUUAAAAAUCUUUGUUGCAGUCGCGAAAUUUUCAAGCCAUUAACACGUACGUAUAAUAGAAACUUUUUUUGCAUAAAUUUAUAUUAGUCGUGAAUGUCUCGUUGAAACUAUUUAUUUUACAGAUGUUCUUCACGCUCUCGGCUCCUCCUGAUCCCGUAGGGGAAAAUCAGGAAUUCGUUGUGGGAACGAGGAGCGGCUAGACGUAAUCGAAAUCCAUGGAAAAACACGACACGGAUUACCGGCGACAUAUUUUCGCUACUGUUUAUUGGUUGCGAUAGACCCGAUUUCUGGCACAGAUUCAGUAAAUUUCUGAAUACCAUUACUUGAUGAUUUCCAAAAUCGCUCGAAUUCGGCCACGGCCAUGUACCACACUGUACAAUGCAGCACGAGUGUACGCUUGAAGAUUUCUCCGCCUGAUUAAUUAUGCCUUUUGGAAUUAGACCAAACGAUUAAGAAACCAAUUCCAUUUGAGUGCACAAGUAACUGCGGAAUAUUACCGACCAUCAUCGCAGUACGUUCAACAACAAUGGAAAUCGGACAAUUCGCUAAAUACACGAACGGUGCGAAUGGCUAAAGUUACAAGAGACAAACGAUACCGCAGCGAUAUCAGCGCAUGUUAGCUGGCGUUUCGAACAGUAGUAGCGAGUGAAGUCCGCUAACGUCGGGAAGCUGAGAAACCGACCGACCGGCCUUCACGCGCCUCGCCUCGGCCCGAUGGCGCCAAGCUGACCUAUCUGCUCGCCACCAAUGUGGGCUGCCUCGCACCAGUCGCGACCGGCCGUCGACCGAUCAACCGUCCAAUCGUUCUUCGUGUGUUAUACGUGCGAGUUUUUCAGCACAGUUGUAUUACAGAUACAAGGAGCGUCACCCACACAACAGUCACAGCUGAUCUAAUAAAGAAGCAAUUUUUUAAUUUGAC